rnacentral:snoRNA from 1 species
GUAGAGACUAGAGUCUCAUCUUGACACUGGUCAUUGUCUUGGUGUGCUUGAGUCCUCUUAGAGUAUAAACUGAUCCUAUUCACCGACUGGCUCUUUGUAGGCCUGUCAGCCACAUGGGCAGUUACAAAG